rnacentral:rRNA from 1 species
AGAAUCAACGCUGGCGGCGUGCCUAACACAUGCAAGUCGAACGAGAAAGUGGAGCAAUCCAUGAGUAAAGUGGCGCACGGGUGAGUAACACGUGACUAACCUACCCUUGAGUGGGGGGAUAACCUAGAGAAAUCUGGGCUAAUACCGCAUAAUACCUUCGGGUCAAAGGAGCAAUUCGCUUAAGGAGGGGGUCGCGGCCGAUUAGUUAGUUGGCGGGGUAAUGGCCCACCAAGACUAUGAUCGGUAUCCGGCCUGAGAGGGCGCACGGACACACCUGGAACUGAAACACGGUCCAGACUCCUACGGGAGGCAGCAGUGGGGAAUUUUGCGCAAUGGGGGAAACCCUGACGCAGCAACGCCGCGUGGAGGAUGAAGUCCCUUGGGACGUAAACUCCUUUCGAUCGGGACGAUAAUGACGGUACCGAGAGAAGAAGCCCCGGCUAACUUCGUGCCAGCAGCCGC